UUGUUCCUACGGGAGGCAGCAGUGGGGAAUAUUGCACAAUGGGCGCAAGCCUGAUGCAGCCAUGCCGCGUGUAUGAAGAAGGCCUUCGGGUUGUAAAGUACCUUCAGCGGGGAGGAAGGGAGUAAAGUUAAUACCUUUGCUCAUUGACGUUACCCGCAGAAGAAGCACCGGCUAACUCCGUGCCAGCAGCCGCGGUAAUACGGAGGGUGCAAGCGUUAAUCGGAAUUACUGGGCGUAAAGCGCACGCAGGCGGUUUGUUAAGUCAGAUGGUAAAUCCCCGGGCUCAACC
rnacentral:rRNA from 1 species